UACGUAGGGUGCGAGCGUUGUCCGGAAUUAUUGGGCGUAAAGAGCUUGUAGGCGGUUUGUCGCGUCUGCUGUGAAAAUCCGGGGCUCAACCCCGGACUUGCAGUGGGUACGGGCAGACUAGAGUGUGGUAGGGGAGACUGGAAUUCCUGGUGUAGCGGUGAAAUGCGCAGAUAUCAGGAAGAACACCCGUGGCGAAGGCGGCUCUCUGGGCCGAUACUGACACUGAGGAGCGAAAGCGUGGGGAGCGAACAGG
rnacentral:rRNA from 1 species